rnacentral:rRNA from 1 species
AUGUUUGAGGACAUCACAAGUGAUGGCACAGAUCAUUGGAAUCCUUCAACAGGCAUACCUCCAUCCUCUAGUGCAGCAAUACCAGAUACCAUUGAUAUUGAAGCCAUCACAGAUGUUGAUUUCUUAGAAGAUCCCCAAGUGCCACCUUCUCCUGCUAUGCCACCUUCUCCUACAACGAAUAAGAGGCUUGGAAAAACCAUUGAUGACAAGCACAAGAAACCUAGGACUGCACAAGUGAUGCAGGAUGAGAUUACACAGAUUAAAAACAUUGCUAAGGAGUCCCAAGAAACCGUUCGAUCAUUCAUAAAGAAUGAUGAUGCCACUUCUGUUGCCAGUACCAUGAAUGAAGUGCUUGCUCUUGGUAUUUUAGAGGGUAGUGAUGAACACUACAUAGCAACCGAGUUUUUCAUCAAAAGAGAGCAAAGAGAGAUGUUUCUACACAUGGGUGUUGCCGCACGUAAAGAUUGGCUUCGUAGGAAGUUUGCCAUGACGUACGGGAAAUAG